CGGUGACACUGCUGCCCCCCACCUCCCCCUCCAGCUGCAGUAGUAUCGCCUGCCCCCCCCGGACGCGGUGGUACGGCCCGCCCGCCCCGCCUUCUCGGUGGUACCGCCCCGCCGCCGCCGUCCCAUGGAGCAGACCCGGACACCGGCACCGGCACCGCCGCCACCGCCCGCCCCCUCCUUCGCCGAGGUGCUGCAGUUGGUGCGGAGCGGGCAGGAGCCGCCCGGCGUGCGGCACCCACGAGCCGAGCCCACAGGGGACAGCCCCACGGCCGCCCGCCUGCCGCUGCCCGCCAAGCCCUGGGAGAGCCGCCCCCGCCCCGGUGGGCCCUGAGUCCCGGUCCCGCCCCAGCACAGAUCCGAGGACAGCAUUCACUUCAUGCUGUUUUAUGACAUCUUCAUCUUGCAGCUGCAGCCAUUGCUCAGAGAACAAAGAACCCCCGCCGCUCUCAACGCAGCAGCCUGGUGGGAGCAGCGGUAUUGCUUGAUUGCCAUACGCCACAUCUCAAUAGCUAGUGAUCCUGUAGGAAGUACAAACAACCUUCAGCAGAGCCGCAUUUCUUCACCAUACACAGCUGGGCGACCACCCUGUCUCAAUACAAUCAUCAAAUUAACCUUGUAAACAUUUGAAGAACCUGAGAACUGACUUAACACUUGAAAGCCGCGGUGGGCAAAGGCAGGACCGAUGCGUGCUUCCUCCCUCCCAGCAGCAGCAGCAUCGCCAUCCCUGAGCUCAGAGCUACUCCACGUUGAGCUUUGUUUUUAUGUUCAUGGCUGCCAGCUCUGCCACAAAGUAACGGAAGACGUGGGGCACAGGGACAACUUCGAUCGUGUCCACCUCGCUGCAGACAGAGCAGGAGUACCUCCUGUUGCUCGUCACAGAGGAGGAGUGUGGCGGUUUCUCCAGCACGGGAGAUGUCAUGCUGCCGCAGCUCAUGCAGACAUAGGCUAUGGAACCAUCAGAGCAGUUGAACAGGCGGUCUUGAAGCAAGAAGGACGUGCCAUGAGCCAGCAAAGCAUCACGCUCCAUCUCGCCAAAGCGAAUCCCACCUUCCACGUUCCUCCCCUUGACGGGCUGGUUGGUGACAGCGUCUCGGGGCCCCGUUGUCCUCACCUGGAACUUGUCCGAGACCAUGUGGCGCAGGCGCUGAUAGUACACCACUCCUACAAAGAUCUCCGCCUCCAGCUCCAGCCCGCUGAUGCCACUGUACAUCUUUUCUGUCCCAAAGAAGUUAUAACCUGCGCUCACUAAAGUCUCACCAAAGUAUUUCAAAGCAGAGUUCUUCUCUGUGAAGGUGAAGGGAGUGGCGUCAUAGGAGACACCGUGCAGCGCUGCUGACUUCCCUGCCAUGCUCUCGAUUAACAUCCCAAUGGUCAUACGGGAGGGAAAGCCGUGAGGGUUGAAGAGGAUGUCUGGAACCAUCCCAUUCUCUGUGAAUGGCAUGUCCUCAACUGGCCAGAGCUGGCUCAGGAUACCUUUCUGUCCGUGACGGCUGGCAAAUUUGUCUCCAACCGUUGGAUUUCGGGGAACCCUCACAGUGAUGCAAGCCUUCUUGAAUUUCCCAGUGCCACGGUCAUUACUGCAUAACCUGAUGUUGUCUACAAUGCCAACUUCCUUAUUCCUGCAUAGGUGGAAAAACAAUCACAGCAAAGGUGUCAGAUGUGCUAAUGAUUUUUAGCUAGCAAAGGGAAAUGAAGGAAGAAACCCAAACCAGUUUGUAUGUCUCAUAAAGUGCCAUGGGACAACCGGGGAACACCACCGUUCUUGAAAAGUACUAUUCAGUAGCGAGAGAAGUCAGACUGUGUAAGAAUUAGGGCAAGGAAGCAAUACAAUGGCAUCAGACAGGUGCCAUUCAUUUGCUUUUUCUAAUACUAGAAGCACAGCUACAACUUUUGGGUGAUCAGGUAACGUGUCAUCCAUGAUUUAAUAUAAAGAUCAUUUAAACCCAGUUCAUCUGUAUUGUGCUUUAUGUGACAAACUGCACCCAGUGCCGUCUGUUUGGUGUUACAGCAGCAGUCCCUCUCCCUGCCCCCAAUAAAUUCACACCAUCUUGGUGUGAUACCAAAAUAGAGAACCGGGUUCAAAGCAGAGAGGAAAGUUCAGAGCAGAAAGGGAAGGCACAGUGUGAACUGAGAGGGCUUUGCCAACAAGUGCCUCUUUCAGGGGUGUGUGCUGCUGCUCCAGAUGUUCCAUGGGCUAGGUAUCUGCCGCAGGCUUAACUGUUGUCACAGAGCUUUCUGCCCAAACUCUCCACUUGUUUUGGAGACAACAGCUAAGGAAUAAAUAAAUUUUGUCCCAUAUUAAGACAAGGUUACUUUUCUUCUUCUCCUUUGAAGUCCUAAUGAACAGGGUGUUUGCAGAAGGCCUAUACCUAAGUUCAGCUUCUGUUUCAAAGGUUAUUAAGCCUUUGUAAGCCUCUUCCAAACUUGUUCAAGCUUUUGCAGUCAAAGACUCUGUCCUCCCUCUCUUGCAAGCCUAGCUAGCGAUGUAUGGAGCGCUUAGGAAAGUAGGGAUCACUCCCUCUUAAGGGCCCCAGGUCUCUGGGGCAAAUUGGUGGCAGGAGCCAACAACUGAAAGCUGGGAACCUCAUCCCUCUGUAGGAACCUAAAUACUUAUCCAGUUUGGAUGAAGAAUGAACAAAAGCUCAACGGUACAGAGGUAAAGUGGCUCUCUGGAUAAGGAACCUGAACUAAGGCUGGGCUGGCAUGAGAGGUCUGGGGAGCAAGACUUUGGGGUAGGAGAGCCAAAGAGGGCUCCACAAGCGCAAGGACAAGGCUGAGCUUACAGGUCCCCACUACCAGGUGCUGAAGCUCUUAGCCCUGCUCUAUGACCAGGAUGACUAAUUCUAUGAGUCCAUAGCAGUCUCCCCAGUGCAGCUAAGGCACCAUCUGUUAUAAACAGUAGUUUUUGCAGUAAUGCUAGUUACUGUGUUACCCAAGUGCUUCUCAAACUAAUUUGCCUUCACAAUGUGAAUAACUAUGCAGCAUUACCCUCACUCUAUCAAUGCUGUAGAGAGACACAGGUAAGGCCUGAAGUUGUACGGACUACUGGGAGCACAGGAUGCAUUUAAAUAUAUCAGGUUUUGUCAAUGUUUUUGCUUCCCUUUCCUGAAAAAAUUAAAGAGGAUUUUAAUGAUUUUAAUGAAA